CCUGGCUCAGGACGAACGCUGGCGGCGCGCCUAACACAUGCAAGUCGAACGAGAGAGAGGAAGCUUGCUUCCUUGAUCGAGUGGCGAACGGGUGAGUAACGCGUGAGGAACCUGCCUCAAAGAGGGGGACAACAGUUGGAAACGACUGCUAAUACCGCAUAAGCCCACGACCCGGCAUCGGGAAGAGGGAAAAGGAGCAAUCCGCUUUGAGAUGGCCUCGCGUCCGAUUAGCUAGUUGGUGAGGUAACGGCCCACCAAGGCGACGAUCGGUAGCCGGACUGAGAGGUUGAACGGCCACAUUGGGACUGAGACACGGCCCAGACUCCUACGGGAGGCAGCAGUGGGGAAUAUUGCACAAUGGGGGAAACCCUGAUGCAGCGACGCCGCGUGGAGGAAGAAGGUCUUCGGAUUGUAAACUCCUGUUGUUGAGGAAGAUAAUGACGGUACUCAACAAGGAAGUGACGGCUAACUACGUGCCAGCAGCCGCGGUAAAACGUAGGUCACAAGCGUUGUCCGGAAUUACUGGGUGUAAAGGGAGCGCAGGCGGGCGAUCAAGUUGGAAGUGAAAUCCAUGGGCUCAACCCAUGAACUGCUUUCAAAACUGGUCGUCUGAGUAGUGCAGAGGUAGGCGGAUUCCCGGUGUAGCGGUGGAAUGCGUAGAUAUCGGGAGGAACACCAGUGGCGAAGGCGGCCUACUGGGCACCAACUGAAGCUGAGGCUCGAAAGUGUGGGUAGCAAACAGGAUUAGAUACCCUGGUAGUCCACACCGUAAACGAUGAUUACUAGGUGUUGGGAGAUUGACCCUCUCAGUGCCGCAGUUAACACAAUAAGAAAUCCACCUGGGGAGUACGACCGCAAGGUUGAAACUCAAAGGAAUUGACGGGGGCCCGCACAAGCAGUGGAGUAUGUGGUUUAAUUCGACGCAACGCGAAGAACCUUACCAAGUCUUGACAUCCCUUGACGAUGCUGGAAACAGUAUUUCUCUUCGGAGCAAGGAGACAGGUGGUGCAUGGUUGUCGUCAGCUCGUGUCGUGAGAUGUUGGGUUAAGUCCCGCAACGAGCGCAACCCUUAUGGUCAGUUACUACGCAAGAGGACUCUGGCCAGACUGCCGUUGACAAAACGGAGGAAGGUGGGGAUGACGUCAAAUCAUCAUGCCCUUUAUGACUUGGGCUACACACGUACUACAAUGGCGUUAAACAAAGAGAAGCAAGACCGCGAGGUGGAGCAAAACUCAGAAACAACGUCCCAGUUCGGACUGCAGGCUGCAACUCGCCUGCACGAAGUCGGAAUUGCUAGUAAUCGUGGAUCAGCAUGCCACGGUGAAUACGUUCCCGGGCCUUGUACACACCGCCCG
rnacentral:rRNA from 1 species